GAUGAACGCUGGCGGCGUGCCUAAUACAUGCCAGUCGAGCGAACAGACGAGGAGCUUGCUCCUCUGACGUUAGCGGCGGACGGGUGAGUAACACGUGGAUAACCUACCUAUAAGACUGGGAUAACUUCGGGAAACCGGAGCUAAUACCGGAUAAUAUAUUGAACCGCAUGGUUCAAAAGUGAAAGACGGUUUUGCUGUCACUUAUAGAUGGAUCCGCGCCGCAUUAGCUAGUUGGUAAGGUAACGGCUUACCAAGGCAACGAUGCGUAGCCGACCUGAGAGGGUGAUCGGCCACACUGGAACUGAGACACGGUCCAGACUCCUACGGGAGGCAGCAGUAGGGAAUCUUCCGCAAUGGGCGAAAGCCUGACGGAGCAACGCCGCGUGAGUGAUGAAGGUCUUCGGAUCGUAAAACUCUGUUAUUAGGGAAGAACAAAUGUGUAAGUAACUAUGCACGUCUUGACGGUACCUAAUCAGAAAGCCACGGCUAACUACGUG
rnacentral:rRNA from 1 species